rnacentral:tRNA from 1 species
AGGGGUUUAGGUUAAGUAUAAACCAAGAGCCUUCAAAGCUCUCAAUGGAGGCUACAUCCCUUCAACCCUUG